AGAGAGAGACAUGCGCGCAUAUCAAUAAGCGGAGGAAAAGAAACUAACAAGGAUUCCCUUAGUAACGGCGAGUGAAGCGGGAAGAGCUCAAAUUUGAAAUCUUCAAGGUUUUACCUUGACGAAUUGUAGUUUAAAGAAGUGUUUUCUGUUGAAGUUUUGGUAAAAGUUCUUUGGAAUAGGACAUCAUAGAGGGUGAGAAUCCCGUAUUUGACCAUUAUUUCCAGCUUUGUGAUACACUUUCAAAGAGUCGGAUUGUUUGGGAAUGCAGUCCAAAAUGGGUGGUAAAUUUCAUCUAAAGCUAAAUAUUGGCGAGAGACCGAUAGCGAACAAGUACCGUGAGGGAAAGAUGAAAAGAACUUUGAAAAGAGAGUUAAACAGUACGUGAAAUUGUCAAAAGGGAAGCGUUUGACACCAGUGUUGUUUUCCUCGAAAAUCAAUUAAAAAAGGCAGGAUUUUGUGUUGUAUUGACUUUAUCAGCUUUCUGCACUCUUUUCUUGUCUUUUUUAAUGCACUUUUCGUUUAACAAGUCAACAUCAAUUUCUUUUGUUGUAAAAGGGUCAUUGGAAGGUGGCUUUCUUUUCGGAGAAAGUGUUUAUAGCCUUUGGCCUCUGCAAUCGGAGAGAUUGAGGUCUGCAGCGUAGAUCCUUCGGGGUUAGAUACAUUUGUGCUAAGUUAUAGCCUUUCAUAGACAACUUGUUGACUAUGAUCAGUCAUGUAGCUUACUCGCUUAUGCUAUUUUACCUACGCUUAGGAUGUUGAUGUGAUACUGCGAGCA
rnacentral:rRNA from 1 species